CUCUGUGUCUCUCUGGCUCGCGGGACCACAAUGCUCCGCGCCUGUUGUCAUUGGGAGGCGCCGUAAAUUUCAGAUUUAACAGAGGAAUCAGAAGCUCGAGGACACACUUGGCUACAUCAUGAGUUCAAUUCAAGGUCAGGCUAGGAUACUUGAAACUGUCUUUAAAAAGAAGUCAAGUAUCUUGCACCAGGACAAGAGACACGGUGCUUUAAGGCUAUGAAAUUAUUGAGACCCCACUCAUCACAAUUGCCAGGACACAGAGAUGCGAACUAAUUGGAAAGACUUCCUUGCGUAGAGGACUGACACAGGGCUUUCUAAGAAGUUUCCCCAGCAUUCACCUCUCUGUGCUCCUGCACGUUGAGGCCAAUGCAUGUCAAACAGGCUCAGCCGCUCCUCAGGCUGGAGGCAGACAUCAUUCCUGUGCACAUGAUGCUGGCCAUGCAGGCAUACAAGAUGAAAGAGUUGCAGAAUCCUAGAUGUCAACCCGCCCAGCAGCCACCUAGGCUGUGUGAGGAUGAUCGAAUGGCUCUCACAACAGAAGACUCCAUGCAGGCAGCUCCUUGGAGGGCAGUGCAUGAAGCAUGGAUGCAGUGGAGACUCCACAGUGUUGGCCAUGUCAGGAAGGUGUGUCUGUGAAGACUUGUGAAGACUCUUCUAAAGAUGACUAAGAGAUGGUGGCUUUCCUUGUAUGUGGGUGACACUGCCACAUGGGCUGGGUUCCAGACAGAGAAAAGGAAAAAGGAGAAAGCCCAUGACUGCAGGCAUUCUCUCCCUCCCUGCUGCUUUACCACCAUGCCAAGAGUGGUUCUGCUCUGCAGGCCUCCUGCAACAUAAUGGACUGAAACGUCCCUUCAACUUUGUGUGUGUUCUUUUUUUAAUCAUAGUGAGGCAAAAGUAAUAAGGAUACUGUGAGUAUAGCGCUCUGACAGGAAAUAUUUGGUAGGGAGAAGAGAUUUCUUCCAAAGGUUUGGGGAAGGAGAAAAAUAGUAACACGUGCUUCCAAGUGUUGCUUUGUUCAACUUUAUUUUUCUUUCAAGACAGAUUGGACUAGUAAGUCGAGUGAUAGUUGGUGAAAAUUCUAGAAAGCAACAAGAGGAUCAGGAAGGAGAUGGAGCAUCGAGACAUGGACGGUGAAGAAUAGGAUCAUGGGUAUUCGUUAGCUUUCUUCUUUCUCUGUUGACAAGGCAGCUCCAGUUACAUGUUAUUAGGGAGCCUGACUUUGUAGCAGAAUGGGAAAGAAGGGACUUAAGAGUGAGUCCAGGGUUAAGCAUGUGCUAUGGAAGGAUUGUUUGAUUCAGCCAUAGGCCCAUGAAGGAGAGACACUGCCUGCCACCCCAUCCCAGCCCAAGUUCCUUUACAGCUACUCAGGUGGAGCAGUAAGUGCCUAGAAUGAGAGUGUUGUGAAGUUACCCACUCCUUCCCCAGAGCUGACUCUAUGCCUCCUGCUCUGGUAAAGGUAAACUUUUAAAUGAAAUUCCCCUUAGAACAAAGUUUCAUCCAGUUUGAAGUCAAACCUGUUUUCUUAAGUCCUUCUCUUCUGGUCCAUCUUCCAUCUUCUCUUAUUUACUUUUUUUAAAAUAAAGAUUUAUUUAUUUGUU
rnacentral:lncRNA from 1 species